GAGGUUUGCUAGCAAACAAAACUCUAACAAAGAACGCUGUUUAUUUUUUCUUUUCUUUUCUUGAGAUAGAUAUUUUUUAUUUUAAGUUCUGGGAUACAUGUGCAGAACGUGCAGGUUUGCUACAUAGAUACACAUGUGCCAUGGUGGUUCGCUGCACCUAUCAACCCAUCAUCUAGGUUUUAAGCCCUGUUUUGAUUUGAAUAUUAUUCAAUACAAGUGAAUAUUGAAAUGUGGACAUUUAUGCUAAGAACAGCUUCUGGAAUUAUACAUUUGCCUUGUAUUCUUACCAAUUGUAAGAUGGAUAAACAAGCAGAAAUUCAAAAUGACAGAAUUAUAUUUCUUUGCAUCUGGAUUUUAUUCUGUUCCUGGUCCAAGUUUCAAGAUUGUCAAGAAUGACAAGUUGGACUUGGUCUAGUUACUUCCACAGCAGCAGGAGGAACAUGUGUGUGACUCAGGAUAACUGGGGAAGCCUUGGCUAGGCUUUCCUCAUGUCAACCUACCACUCAAAGGGAGAAAACCUCCUGAUCAGAGGAGCCCAGAACCCAGGAAAUCCAUAAUUUUUGAAUGCUGGCCGAGGUCUGUGACCUCUGACUGAAUGGUUUCCAAGCUCUGAAUUCCUAGGUAUAACACUUGCUGAAGAAAGGAAAAGCUCUCUGAUUUAGGUGUAAGCAAAACAAUCUAAACAGUAGGAUAAAAUCGUGUUGGAGUGGAGUUCUGUGUGAGCGCUGUCUUUGA
rnacentral:lncRNA from 1 species